UACAGAGGGGGCAAGCGUUGUUCGGAAUUACUGGGCGUAAAGGGCGCGUAGGUGGCCUUCUAAGUUGAACGUGAAAUCCCUGGGCUCAACCCCAGGAACUGCGUCCAAGACUGGGAGGCUUGAAUCCGGGAGAGGGAUGCGGAAUUCCAGGUGUAGCGGUGAAAUGCGUAGAUAUCUGGAGGAACACCGGUGGCGAAGGCGGCAUCCUGGACCGGUAUUGACACUGAGGCGCGAAAGCCAGGGGAGCAAACGGG
rnacentral:rRNA from 1 species